CUUGUUCUGUGAUUUUUAGAGCUCAAAAUUGUUAUAAAGGCCAAAAGUUCUUCUCCCUCUUUUCUUCCAAGUUCUGAGCUUUAAAGAGAGGAGAGAAAAUUCUGUAAGGGUUGUCUCCUAAGCCCGUCAAAAGGAGUGAAACUGUAAAAGGGUGGUUGGCCUUCGCCUAUUGAAGGAAGACCUCUAGUUGACGUCGGUGACCUCGUCGGUGGAGGAAGCCAAAAGUGGAG
rnacentral:lncRNA from 1 species